GCCGGGAUGGUGGAAUUGGUAGACACGCAAGACUUAAAAUCUUGUUUCCAUUAGGAAGUGCGGGUUCAAGUCCCGCUCCUGGUA
rnacentral:tRNA from 1 species